rnacentral:lncRNA from 1 species
GAAAGUUUCGGGUGGAUCCUUUCUCUAAGACAUCUCUUUUCCUCUGUGUAUGCUUAUUUCGGUGUGUUCUUCCUCAUCCACUUCCCUCUCAUUCCUUCCUCCAUCCCCUAGCACAGACGGCAACAGCACUGCGCUCCCACCCUCCUCUUUUUGCUUUUUCUUCCUCCUCUCCUUUUUCUUCUCCUCCCCCCACCCCGGGACACACACACACACACACACACACACACACACACACACACACACACACACACACACACACACACCUCUCUUUCUCUUCCACCCCUAUUCAGGCUUCGCUGGCAAGACCGGGGGUAGCAUCCAUGGCAAAUCCUCCUCCUCCUCCUCUCUCCUCCUCCUCCUCCUCCUCCUCCUCCUCCUCCUUCUCCUCCUCCUCCUCCUCCUCUUCUCCUCCUCCCUUCGCCUCCCCACGCCUCCACCGCUGCCGCCUGGGGUCCCGAGCCUUCGUCCUUCUCCCCGGGGCUGUGAUCUUGUUUGAGGGGAGGAAGGGGGUGGUAGCCUUAGGACCAUGGAUUAAGAGGACUUGUCUACAGCUCCUGCCUCUGCACAGGCUAGAAGAGGGGGCGGGCGGGCAAGCAGGCGGGGUGGGUUAGGCGAGCAGAGCUAGCGAGCAAGCAAGCGAGCGAGAGGAAAAUCCAGGGGCUUCCGCGAGCCUGCCCGGCGGAGUUUGCAAGCAGCUGAUUCUACCUCAGGGGCACCUACAGACCCUGGGAGACCAGACCUUUUUUGCCCCCAUCGCCCCUUCCUUGGGCUCAUCUCCCUGCUCACCAGCAGAAGAGACGGUGUGAGAGUGAGGAGAGUGUGUGUGUGUGUGUGUGUGUGUGUGUGUGAGUGAGUGUGUGUGUGAGCGCGCGCGCGUGUGUGCGCGCGUGUGAGUGUGCGAGUGUGUGUGUGCGCGUGUGUCUGUGUGUACACGCAGGGAAAAGCUAAUGGAUGUAGUGAAGCUGGCGCUGGAGAAGGGGAGCGGACAGCAGGCUCGGGUCGCCGUUGCAGCUGUUGCUCAGGCUCCAGCCCUGGCUCCGGCUCUGGCUCUGGCUCCGGAUCCAGCUCCAGCUCGGGCUCAGGCUCAGGCUCCAGCGCCGGCUCGCCGCCGCCUACUCCUCCUGCCCCGGCCACCACCACCGCUGCUGCUGCCCCUCCGGCAGUCGGAGAUGCUGCCGCUCCUGCCCAGCACCCAGCACCGGCUCCGGGCUCGCAGGAAAAGAAAGGAGCUGCUGCUGGGCCAGGUCUGCUUCCUGGGCUCCCUCUUGCUGCUCCUGUCGUCCCUGGGUAACUGGGCUGAUAAAGCCGGUUAUUAUAUCUUUGACUAUAUGGAAACAAGUGACAAAUGGAGUGGGAGGAGAUUACUGCAGGAGAAUGCUACCUUGAUUCCAGAGAAUACAGAACCCUGGCCUGGUAAAAACUGCACUGACCCUGGUAAGAAUGAGUUGGCUACUUAUCUUGCAAACUGUGGUAGUCUCUUCCAAAUGUUAUUAUUCCACGGGCACAC